GUGCACGGUCAUAGCGGUGGUGUUUACCCGGUCCCAUCCCGAACCCGGAAGUCAAGCCCAUCUGCGUCAGUUCCUGUACUGUGGUGCGAGAGCCCACGGGAACGACUGUCACUGUGCCCC
rnacentral:rRNA from 1 species